rnacentral:rRNA from 1 species
GACGAACGCNGGCGGCGUGCCUAAUACAUGCAAGUAGAACGCACAGUUUAUACCGUAGCUUGCUACACCAUAGACUGUGAGUUGCGAACGGGUGAGUAACGCGUAGGUAACCUGCCUGGUAGCGGGGGAUAACUAUUGGAAACGAUAGCUAAUACCGCAUAAUAUUAAUUAUUGCAUGAUAAUUAAUUGAAAGGUGCAAUUGCACCACUACCAGAUGGACCUGCGUUGUAUUAGCUAGUAGGUGAGGUAACGGCUCACCUAGGCGACGAUACAUAGCCGACCUGAGAGGGUGAUCGGCCACACUGGGACUGAGACACGGCCCAGACUCCUACGGGAGGCAGCAGUAGGGAAUCUUCGGCAAUGGACGAAAGUCUGACCGAGCAACGCCGCGUGAGUGAAGAAGGUUUUCGGAUCGUAAAGCUCUGUUGUAAGAGAAGAACGGGUGUGAGAGNGGAAAGUUCACAC